UGAGAUUUGAUGCAGUGACAAGUUUGUGUCGUAAUGACGUCAUCACGUAAUGACAUCACAACGUCAUUUAGCAACUUGUAGCAACAAAUCGACCUUCCUUUAGCAACUCUCAUGAAAAUUAGUUGGCAGCACUGUAUGAAGUUCUUUGAUCAGACAUCUGUGCUCGUCUAGUUGGGACGACACUUGGGCUGAUUAUGUUGGCCUGACAAGGGUUUUUAUGUAGGCCUAGUUUCAAGAAAAUAGCAUUUUUAAGUAUUUGAGACUCAAAAGGUUUCGUUAAAUAUGAAGUUGCGUUUUUUUACAGUGUGAUUCUCCAUCCAAACGUGCAUUUAAAGUCAAAAUUUCUGAGAAUCAGACACGUCCCUUUCAACUUUCAAAUUUAACGCAAUUGUCUUACUAAUUUAAUCCCUUAUCCCUGAUAAUCACUCAAAUUCUAAAGGUCCCAUAUAAAAUAUGACGGGUUAUUUAUUUAUUUACUUUUUUAAUUAUGUAGUUGCCUUCAUCUUUCCGUAUAGUACAGCCAGGUUUGCUCCGAAUAAGCCAAGUGUGCACGCUACAAAAGUGGAAGAAUCCCAUUUCCAGCGCUUGGCCCCAUUUCCUGCCGGCUGCACUUUCUAGAAGGGAGGAGGAGGACACCGAGCAUCCUGCGCAUCUCCUGGACCCGCUGCUCUGCGAGCAUCAUGCUGGAUGUGCUGCUGUUGAUGUUCUUCGCCAUCAUCGGCCUUGUGUUCCUGUCCUACAUCAUCUACGUGCUCUGACCACGGCAGCUUCACCGGUGCGCCGCCGUGAGAGCGGGCGCGAGACUCACCGGAGAGAUCUGAGCUCAGAGGAAGAAGCUCUGUGAAGGGGAUCAGGAUGUGAAUUUACUGAUGAGGAUACACUCACAAGAUGAGACUCACCCAUAUCUCUGUGUCACACAGACACUGUUCCUAUAGCAUAGCAGCUGACACAAAACCUACACCACACUGCUGUUCCUCCCCUUUCAUUUAGGAGACUCUGUUCAAAUGUAUUUUUCCCCCAAACAGACUGAAACACUAAACCCCAAGAUCUAUGGAUGUCUGGCUAUUCUUUUUCCUUUUCUGUUCCUCCGUGUAGAAUUUCUGCAAAUAACUGUUUACAAACUCCCAGUGUAAUGGUUAUCAAAUUCAUGUAUUUUGUCAAAGGAUGUUCAUGAAUAACUGAUUUUCAAGAUAAAGAGCCUUUGUGAGGAUGACACUGCCUUUUGUGUGGAAUCAUUCAUAUCAUGAACGUAUUAAACUGAUCAUCAAACAGUCUACAGAAAUAUUAGUUUAUGAUAUUUUGUGGAUAAUAUAUAUAUAAUAAGUUGCCACUAAGUGGUGUAUGAUCUCGGCUAGGGGGUAUAGCUCAGUGGUAGAGCAUUUGACUGCAGAUCAAGAGGUCCCCGGUUCAAAUCCGGGUGCCCCCUACAGUUGUUUUGAGAAAAUACAUAUGCGUAAUAUAAUUGCAUAUCCGUUAUCAUCACGCGAGCAAACGAGCCUUCCGCCCUUGUAACACUACCGGACGAGACUGACAAACGAAAAUGAAGACAUAUUUAGACUUCAGUCAAGUGAUGGGUUUGGUUUUCAGCGAUGCCGGACACAGAUAACCAAUAGGGAGCAGUAUGGGACAGCAGAUGAGAGAGUGC
ensembl:lncRNA